AUUGAACGCUGGCGGCAUGCUUUACACAUGCAAGUCGAACGGUAACAGGCCUUCGGGUGCUGACGAGUGGCGAACGGGUGAGUAAUGCAUCGGAACGUACCCAGAGGUGGGGGAUAACGCAGCGAAAGCUGUGCUAAUACCGCAUGUGAUCUGAGGAUGAAAGCGGGGGACCGAGCAGCAAUGUUUGGCCUCGCGCCUUUGGAGCGGCCGAUGUCGGAGUAGCUAGUUGGUGGGGUAAAGGCCUACCAAGGCGACGAUCCGUAGCUGGUGUGAGAGGACGACCAGCCACCUUGGAACUGAGCCAGGGACAAGAGUCCUACGGGAGGCAGCAGUGGGGAAUGUUGGACAAUGGGCGCAAGCCUGAUCCAGCAAUGCGGAGUGCGAGAAAAAGGCCUUCGGGUUGUAAACAGCUUUUGGCAGGAACGAAACGGUGUCCGCUAAUACCGGGCGCUAAUGACGGUAACUGCAGAAUAAGCACCGGCUAACUACGUG
rnacentral:rRNA from 1 species